UACGAAGGGUGCAAACGUUGCUCGGAAUUAUUGGGCGUAAAGCGCACGUAGGCGGCUUUGCAAGUCGGAUGUGAAAUCCCUCGGCUCAACCAAGGAAGUGCAUCCGAAACUGCAGAGCUUGAGUACCAAAGAGGAUCGCGGAAUUCCCGGUGUAGAGGUGAAAUUCGUAGAUAUCGGGAGGAACACCAGUGGCGAAGGCGGCGAUCUGGGUGGAUACUGACGCUCAUGCUCGAAAGCGUGGGGAGCAAACAGG
rnacentral:rRNA from 1 species